CAGCCGCCGCGGUAAUACGUAGGUGGCAAGCGUUGUCUGGAAUUAUUGGGCGUAAAGGGCUCGCAGGCGGUUUCUUAAGUCUGAUGUGAAAGCCCCCGGCUCAACCGGGGAGGGUCAUUGGAAACUGGGAAACUUGAGUGCAGAAGAGGAGAGUGGAAUUCCACGUGUAGCGGUGAAAUGCGUAGAGAUGUGGAGGAACACCAGUGGCGAAGGCGACUCUCUGGUCUGUAACUGACGCUGAGGAGCGAAAGCGUGGGGAGCGAACAGGAUUAGAUACCCGUGUAGUCCCUGUCUCUUAUAA
rnacentral:rRNA from 1 species